AGUGAACGCUGGCGGUAGGCCUAACACAUGCAAGUCGAACGGCAGCACAGUAAGAGCUUGCUCUUACGGGUGGCGAGUGGCGGACGGGUGAGGAAUACAUCGGAAUCUACUUUUUCGUGGGGGAUAACGUAGGGAAACUUACGCUAAUACCGCAUACGACCUACGGGUGAAAGCAGGGGAUCUUCGGACCUUGCGCGAUUGAAUGAGCCGAUGUCGGAUUAGCUAGUUGGCGGGGUAAAGGCCCACCAAGGCGACGAUCCGUAGCUGGUCUGAGAGGAUGAUCAGCCACGCUGGAACUGAGACACGGUCCAGACUCCUACGGGAGGCAGCAGUGGGGAAUAUUGGACAAUGGGCGCAAGCCUGAUCCAGCCAUACCGCGUGGGUGAAGAAGGCCUUCGGGUUGUAAAGCCCUUUUGUUGGGAAAGAAAAGCAGCAGGUUAAUACCCCGCUGUUCCGACGGUACCCAAAGAAUAAGCACCGGCUAACUUCGUG
rnacentral:rRNA from 1 species